rnacentral:rRNA from 1 species
UACAGAGGGUGCGAGCGUUAAUCGGAAUUACUGGGCGUAAAGCGUACGUAGGUGGUUGGAUAAGUCAGGUGUGAAAUCCCCAAGCUUAACUUGGGAAUUGCGUUUGAUACUGUCUGACUUGAGUUUGGUAGAGGGAGGUGAAAUUCCAGGUGUAGCGGUGAAAUGCGUAGAGAUGUGGAGGAACACCGAUGGCGAAGGCAGCCUCCUGGGCCAGCACUGACGCUCAUGCACGAAAGCGUGGGGAGCAAACAGG